rnacentral:sRNA from 1 species
GGGAAAGGUGCGCUUGCCAUUGCUCAUCAACCCGCCGGAAUGAUCGGUAUGAAUAUGAGUGAGGAUGACAUCAUCGAUGUCACCCACCUUGUAACCGGAAGCCUCGAUGUUGGACACGAGUUUGCCGAGCGAUGCCCCUAGAUAGCCACCAGUGCCUGCAUCGAUCAGCACCAGUCUUUCUCCAGUGUUGACAAGGAAAGCGUUGACGGAGGUUGGGACCAUGUCCGGCAGAAACGCAUCUUUUAACGCGUUUUGUGCAUCAUGCUCACUUGUGUUGGUGUAGAGCUUGGCAAGCGGCAGGGCUACAGUUCCGUCCGACAGGGCCGUGACCUCCACAGAGCCGAUUUUUAACCGGUAGUAUCCGGGCGCUUGAACAACUGCAAAGGGUGCCUUGGCGAAAGUGACCGACGGUGCAACAAAAGGUGCGACGAUGAGGCCGGUCAGAGCGCUUUUGAGAAUGGAACGACGGGACGGCAUGAAUUUGCUCCUUGAUUAAGGGUGCGGAGUGACUUGCAAGUUCCUCCUCAUCAGCUAAGGAU